rnacentral:rRNA from 1 species
AUUGAACGCUAGCGGGAUGCUUUACACAUGCAAGUCGAACGAGUGGCGGACGGGUGAGUAAUAUAGCGGAACGUGCCCAGUAGCGGGGGCUAACUACUCGAAAGAGUGGCUAAUACCGCAUACUAUUGUAGCGGCCGACACCGGAUGAGCUAGUCGGUGGGGUAAAGGCUCACCAAGGCAACGAUCCGUAGCUGGUUUGAGAGGACGACCAGCCACACUGGGACUGAGACACGGCCCAGGCUCCUACGGGAGGCAGCAGUGGGGAAUUGUGGACAAUGGGGGAAACCCGGAUCCAGCCAUCCCGCGUGUAUGAGAAGGCCUUCGGGUUGUAAAGUACUUUUGGCAGAGAAGCGGUAUCUGCAGAAAAAGCACCGGCUAACUACGUGCCAGCAGCCGCGGUAAUUC